rnacentral:ncRNA from 1 species
UUCCGAUAAAGGCAAACUCUGAGUAAUCAGGGGGCGCAAAGGAAAGGGUCUUGUAACCGUGGACAGUGUUCGUGAACAGUGUCAGUAUAAGUAAAAGACACUUACACCCAUAACUGGAACGAUGAAAAUAAGAUAGCCUUACUGCCGAA